AGAGCGAACGCUGGCGGCAGGCUUAACACAUGCAAGUCGAGCGGGCGUAGCAAUACGUCAGCGGCAGACGGGUGAGUAACGCGUGGGAACAUACCUUUUGGUUCGGAACAACCCAGGGAAACUUGGGCUAAUACCGGAUAAGCCCUUACGGGGAAAGAUUUAUCGCCGAAAGAUUGGCCCGCGUCUGAUUAGCUAGUUGGUGAGGUAACGGCUCACCAAGGCGACGAUCAGUAGCUGGUCUGAGAGGAUGAUCAGCCACAUUGGGACUGAGACACGGCCCAAACUCCUACGGGAGGCAGCAGUGGGGAAUAUUGGACAAUGGGCGCAAGCCUGAUCCAGCCAUGCCGCGUGAGUGAUGAAGGCCCUAGGGUUGUAAAGCUCUUUUGUGCGGGAAGAUAAUGACGGUACCGCAAGAAUAACGCCCGGCUAACUUCGCGCCAGCAGCCGC
rnacentral:rRNA from 1 species